AGCCGGCGGGAGAAGCGACGCGGGAGCAGGGACGAAACCGGCGGCGGCACUGAGCCCGAGCGAUGCUCUGCGCCCCGGCCCCCGCACACGGCCCGCCCCGCGCCGGCACACGGCCCCGCCUCCCCGCCCGCCGCCGGCACCGCGAUUGGCUCCGAGCCGAGGGGGGACCGGUUGCGGCGCCACGAUUGGUCAGUACGAGUGUCCAUCAGAAAACAACGCGGUUCUAUUGGAUGGGGAGCGCGCCCGUCACCGCCCUGUGUGGCCGCCUCGGCUCCGCCCCCUCACCGCGUUGCCUGAGGGCUUGGUCGGGAGGAGGCGGCUGGAGACGCGCUGAGGGUCUCCCAGCGCCCGUCCUGCGCCCCCGGCCCCUUUUCUUUGCCGGUCAACGCCUCCGGCCGUCCAGAGCGCCUUUGUCUCCUUCCUAGAGCCACUGGCUGAUGGGGCAGCGGGGGACGCGGACCCCGGCGCUGCGGUCCGCCAGGAGCGGCGCGGCCGGUGUGUCCCGGCUGCGAGGGCCACGGCAGCCGUGAGUUCCCAAGGUCACAGAGGCCUCGGUGAGCCGUGAGACCGCUCCUCACCACCCACACCUGGGCCUCGGCCCCGAGCGAAAAGUUGCUGCUGGUUCACGUGGGCCGAUGAGGUCCGGUGUCCAGCGGGUGAGAAAGAGCAGCGCCCUUCGUGUGGUCCCUGCCAGCUGGGUGAGCUGGAGACCUGUCUGGACAGCUGGAACUGUAGUGCAUGCAGAUCCCACUGUGAAUGCAGCAGAGAUAGAGCAGCAGACAAGAGUCACUCCACUUGUUUGCACUAGUGCAGCCACGGCAAAGAUAAAAGACCCAGUGUCACAGCUUUUACCCAGGUUGCUGAAUUGUCGGCAUAUUUGGAAGAGAUGGAUGUCUCCAGUGAGAUAUGGAUGUGCUGCACACCUUGCCUGUGCCCUGUGUAAGGCUGAGUGCUCAGAAGAAGCCCAGACAGCUUCCUUGCCCUGCCUGGCUCAGGAAACAUGGACACAGAGCCAUGAGGAGUGA
rnacentral:lncRNA from 1 species